UUCCUAUUGGCAGCUUCUAUUGCUUUUCCCCCUCCGAGCAGGGAUUUUUAUUCAUUUCCUUUGUCUCCUUUGAAAUUUUUUUUUUUAAACAGCGAUGUUUUCCAAGACCUGCAAAUCAUCAUGAGAAGAAAAACAUAAUUCAAGGGCAAACGUAUCGUCUCUAAAGUGCUUAGGCUGCAAAUCCCUCGGCUGCGCGGUUCCCUCUCCGUAGCACUUUGUGCAAAAGUUUCCUUUCAAUGCCAAGACUUUCAGAGUCAUCCGGGAGAGCAGAGGCUGUGGACAGCAACAAGGAGUCCUCGUCCCAAGGAGUAGCUCGGCCUUGCCACUCGGAACCCACUCCCAGAAGGCAUGACCGCUGUCUGAGUCACUCUCAGCCCUCCCCACAGAAGGCCAGGAACUUGGAAGGGGACGAUGGGGGUUUGCUGGCUUUCUGUCCUCCAGCCCUGCCUGACAGGAGGGCAUGCUCCCUGACCCCAUGUCCCUAGGGGCCUCCCAGGAAAGCAGCUCUGUCAGGUCGCCGUCUCUCCU
rnacentral:lncRNA from 13 species